rnacentral:rRNA from 1 species
GAUGAACGCUGGCGGCGUGCCUAAUACAUGCAAGUCGAGCGAACAGAUGAGGAGCUUGCUCCUCUGACGUUAGCGGCGGACGGGUGAGUAACACGUGGAUAACCUACCUAUAAGACUGGGAUAACUUCGGGAAACCGGAGCUAAUACCGGAUAAUAUAUUGAACCGCAUGGUUCAAUAGUGAAAGACGGUUUUGCUGUCACUUAUAGAUGGAUCCGCGCCGCAUUAGCUAGUUGGUAAGGUAACGGCUUACUAAGGCAACGAUGCGUAGCCGACCUGAGAGGGUGAUCGGCCACACUGGAACUGAGACACGGUCCAGACUCCUACGGGAGGCAGCAGUAGGGAAUCUUCCGCAAUGGGCGAAAGCCUGACGGAGCAACGCCGCGUGAGUGAUGAAGGUCUUCGGAUCGUAAAACUCUGUUAUUAGGGAAGAACAAAUGUGUAAGUAACUAUGCACGUCUUGACGGUACCCAAUCAGAAAGCCACGGCUAACUACGUG